rnacentral:rRNA from 1 species
CCUACGGGGGGCAGCAGUGAGGAAUAUUGGUCAAUGGCCGGAAGGCUGAACCAGCCAUGCCGCGUGAAGGUCAGUGCCCUAUGGGCGUUAAACUUCUUUUGUGCGGGAGCAAUAAUGGUCACGUGUGGCCAGACGAGAGUACCGUACGAAUAAGCAUCGGCUAACUCCGUGCCAGCAGCCGCGGUAAUACGGGGGAUGCAAGCGUUAUCCGGAUUUAUUGGGUUUAAAGGGUGCGUAGGCUGUGAGGUAAGUCAGCGGUGAAAUGCCCCCGCUCAACGGGGUGAAGUGCCAUUGAUACUGCCUGGCUGGAAUGCGGAUGCGGUGGGAGGAAUGUGUGGUGUAGCGGUGAAAUGCAUAGAUAUCACACAGAACACCGAUUGCGAAGGCAUCUCACGAAUCCGCGAUUGACGCUGAUGCACGAAAGCGUGGGUAUCAAACAGGAUUAGAUACCCUGGUAGUC